rnacentral:rRNA from 1 species
AUUGUACGCUGGCGGCGUGCUUAACACAUGCAAGUCGAUCGGUAACGCGGGGGCAACCCUGGCGACGAGAGGCGGACGGGUGAGGAACGCUUGGGAAUCUGCCUAUCAGCGGGGGACAACCCGGGGAAACUCGGGCUAAUACCGCAUACGCUCUACGGAGGAAAGCCGGGGACCGCAAGGCCUGGCACUGAUAGAUGAGCCCAAGUCGGAUUAGCUAGUUGGCGGGGUAACGGCCCACCAAGGCGACGAUCCGUAGCUGGUCUGAGAGGACGAUCAGCCACACUGGGACUGAGACACGGCCCAGACUCCUACGGGAGGCAGCAGUGGGGAAUAUUGGACAAUGGGGGAAACCCUGAUCCAGCGACGCCGCGUGGGUGAAGAAGGCCUGCGGGUUGUAAAGCCCUUUCGGUAGGGACGAAAGCUCUCGACCUAACACGUCGGGAGGUUGACUUAACCUACAAAAGAAGCACCGGCUAACUCUGUGCCAGCCGCCGCCGUAA